CGAGCGGAACGAUGCCUAGCUUGCUAGGAGGCGUCGAGCGGCGGACGGGUGAGUAAUGCAUAGGAAUCUGCCCGGUAGUGGGGGAUAACCUGGGGAAACCCAGGCUAAUACCGCAUACGCCCUACGGGGGAAAGCAGGGGAUCUUCGGACCUUGCGCUAUCGGAUGAGCCUAUGUCGGAUUAGCUAGUUGGUGAGGUAACGGCUCACCAAGGCUGCGAUCCGUAGCUGGUCUGAGAGGAUGAUCAGCCACAUCGGGACUGAGACACGGCCCGAACUCCUACGGGAGGCAGCAGUGGGGAAUAUUGGACAAUGGGCGAAAGCCUGAUCCAGCCAUGCCGCGUGUGUGAAGAAGGCCUUCGGGUUGUAAAGCACUUUCAGUGAGGAAGAAAGCCUUGAGGUUAAUACCCUCGAGGGAGGACAUCACUCACAGAAGAAGCACCGGCUAACUCCGUGCCAGCAGCCGCGGUAAUACGGAGGGUGCGAGCGUUAAUCGGAAUUACUGGGCGUAAAGCGCGCGUAGGCGGCUUGAUAAGCCGGUUGUGAAAGCCCCGGGCUCAACCUGGGAACGGCAUCCGGAACUGUCAGGCUAGAGUGCAGGAGAGGAAGGUAGAAUUCCCGGUGUAGCGGUGAAAUGCGUACAGAUCGGGAGGAAUACCAGUGGCGAAGGCGGCCUUCUGGACUGACACUGACGCUGAGGUGCGAAAGCGUGGGUAGCAAACAGGAUUACAUACCCUGGUAGUCCACGCCGUAAACGAUGUCGACUA
rnacentral:rRNA from 1 species